CUUAACAGUAAGCACUUCCCUGUUCCGACUGGUUUUUCCGUUGAUGAUGUAAUAAUUUAUUCAAAUAUAAUUUGUUGGGCAGUUGUUGUUCAUAAAAUCCUACGUACACAUUUCUCUCACACUGUGUCGGACCACUCUCAUAAUCUCACAUCUGGCAACCCUUUUUACUACAGAUGUUCGAGGCGAAUUCAAUACAUGUGAGAACUUGACACAAAUUGCAUUAAUUAAUUAAAACAAAGAAGCAGACAACAUGUAAACUGAGGAAUACUGGUAAAACUGUAUCGUUUCAUUAUUACAAGAUUUCUAAUACUAAUUUGUUUCUUUUCUUCUUUCUUUCAGCUAUUUGAGUUUGGGAAAGGUUGUGGCUUAACUCCACCACAUGACUCUAGGCCCUUCCCAGGUUGGUGUUUCCACUGCGAGCUGACCACUCGCAUACUCUUCUGAUGGAACCCUAAUCAAAUAGGCCAAUGAGCCAAAUAACAUCUCUGUAGUUAGAAACUAAUAAACUAACUUAAACAAAAUAAAAA